ACACAUACCUUGUCUGUUUCCUUGUUGGUGUGGGCAGUGGCCAGGACUGGAACUGCUCCAUCUUCCCCUGGAUCCUCCUUCAGCUUCUCUGACUCUUGGGCCAGGAGUGUGUGUGUGUGUAUCUGUGUGUGUGUGUGUGUGUGUGUGUGUGUGUGUGUGUGCGCCUAAUUUCAUGACAAAGGGCCCUGGCUUCUGCAUGACCAAGGUCAGAGGCAACAAGUACAAACACAGGUUUUUGCCUGUCUUAUUGGCUCAAGCUUGUGCUUAUGGGUUCCAGCUUGUUCUUGCUCUCCCUAUUUUACAUCUUGACUGCCUGCCCUGAGGACUUCCAGCUCCAGCAUCAGAUGCAAUGACAAUACCCUUACAGAGACUAGUAUUCAACCAGCAACCACAACUGCAUAAGGCAAGUUGAACGGGGAGUGAGGAGUAACCAGGGAAAAGAAGCAGAUGAGGACACCAUUUACAAGGAUGCCUUGCCCUGGGAAUCCUCCCCACAGGAGUAAGAAGGGAGCUACACUUUACAUAGCAUGUCUGAAGAGUAGUUCCCAAAUACUUGUUCUUGGACAUGGCAGAGCUGGAUGCCCAAGAAUCUCCUGGGAAACAUUAAUUACAAAAACCAAGCAAAACAGAACCCCUGGCUCCACGUUGAUUUGGAGGGGGUAAGAUGGGAUGCACCAAGGGUGGGGGUGGUAACCACCGAUAUGGAAAGCAUUGUUUUGCAUUGGUAGUUAGAUCAUUUGGGCUUUCUGGCAAUUCCCUGCUGUGUGACCUCAAGCAAAUCAAUCAAUUCCUCUGAGCUUCAUGUUGAUUAUUUAGAAAGUGAUGAUGCUAUCAAUAAGUCCCACAUUAAAGAGUUAUCCUGAGAAUCAAAUGAGAUUAGGUAUGCAAAAGCACUUAUCAAUCUGUCAGUUGCUCUCCAAUUUUGGCUAAGCUUAGAUAUUUAAAUCCUAGUAAUAUUUGUGCUAAGUGGUGUGGGAGAUUAAAAAAAGAAUCGGAAUCUAGUUUGGGAGAAGUUUUCAACCUAGCUGGAGAGAAAAGGUAUAAAUGAAAUGGUAUGCAUACUAAGCCACUAAAAAGCAUUUUCAGUGUGCACCAUGGGCUCUGCACUAGGGUAGAUUAUGUGGGUGAUUGAGAAGUAUAGUAUACAACAUGGAUACUCUUCUGAAAGGGCUCCCAGUUUUGGUGGAGAAAAGAGACUCCUCUAUAACAGCAAAUAACAAAAAGAUAAUAUAUAUAAUCAAAGUAACUGCUAAAUGUUAUGGUACAGUCUCUAAAAGGUUACUAAGGGAAGUUCUGAAGAAAGAACAAUAGGAAUUGCUGUAGUCCAGGAAAGGAGAGAACUUUAGCUGGGUCUAGAAGUUAAAACAGCAGAAGGAACAGAAAGAGGCUCAUUUGUCAGGGGAACAGCAAAAGCCAAGCAUAGAGGCAGGAAUGAUCAGGGUGUAUGCAGUACCACAAAGGAGAUCAAACUGGCUAGAAUGGUGGGACAGAUUACAGAGGGCCUUAAAAGCUCAGCUGAGAAGUUUGUACUUGAUACAUCAAUGCAUAUUUUGUAUGUUUGUUGCUAGAAUUCCAGACAGUAGACUGUUUAUACACUUACCCUUGAAACUCUAGAAUUGUGUUGCCCAAUAUGACAGCAACUAGUCACUGUGGCUAUGAAGCACUUGAAAUGUGGCUAGUCUGAACUGAGAUGUGCUGUAAGUAUAAAACACAUACUAGAUUUCAAAGAUUUAGUGCAAAAAAAAUAAAAUAUUUACAUUAUUUGUUGAAAUGAUACUAUUUUGAUAUAUUGAGCUAAAUUUUAGAUAUUAUUAAAAUUAAUUUAUCUGUUUCUUUUCCUUUUUAAAAUAAGGCUACUAAAAACUUAAAGUUACAUAAGGGGCUUGCAUUACAUUUCUUUCAACAGUACUGUUCUAGAAUGUCAAGAUGGGUAUUAAAGAAUUUUAUUUGCACAAGGAGCCUGGGAGAAAGAAACAGAUAGACAUUUAGGUAGAUAGCUAUGAAGAUGCCUAGGAGGCCAGAAUUAACAGUAUUGUAUAUUGUAUCCCCCUCACCACACACAGACACACACCUGGGAUAUACAUUGAAGUCAAGGCAGUGGAACCUGGUCCUGGGCCAAUGAGUAAAGAAUGAUAUAAAGCAUUAUUUUUGUGUGCAAUACUGAGGGAUAUCCUUCCACGAGAAGAGCCACUAAGAAACUGAGAGAGCAAGUAAUGUACAAGAACUGUAAUAGGAUUCAUGUUUAAGCAUCAGAGCAAUAAA
rnacentral:lncRNA from 1 species